GCGUCUUGGCCAAUGAUUUCAGGUGCUUGCACUUGNANNNUUUGACAUUGAGACGAGUGGCGAACUGGUGAGUAACACGUGGGUAACCUGCCCUUGAAGUAGGGGAUAACACUUGGAAACAGGUGCUAAUACCGUAUAACAACCAAAACCACCUGGUUUUGGUUUAAAAGACGGCUUCGGCUGUCACUUUAGGAUGGACCCGCGGCGUAUUAGCUUGUUGGUAAGGUAACGGCCUACCAAGGCGAUGAUACGUAGCCGACCUGAGAGGGUAAUCGGCCACAUUGGGACUGAGACACGGCCCAAACUCCUACGGGAGGCAGCAGUAGGGAAUCUUCCACAAUGGACGAAAGUCUGAUGGAGCAACGCCGCGUGAGUGAUGAAGGGUUUCGGCUCGUAAAACUCUGUUGUUGGAGAAGAACCGUUGUCAGAGCAACUGUUGACAGCUUGACGGUAUCCAACCAGAAAGCCACGGCUAACUACGUGCCAGCAGCCGCGGUAAUACGUAGGUGGCAAGCGUUGUCCGGAUUUAUUGGGCGUAAAGCGAGCGCAGGCGGUUUUUUAGGUCUGAUGUGAAAGCCUUCGGCUUAACCGGAGAAGUGCAUCGGAAACCGGGAGACUUGAGUGCAGAAGAGGACAGUGGAACUCCAUGUGUAGCGGUGAAAUGCGUAGAUAUAUGGAAGAACACCAGUGGCGAAGGCGGCUGUCUGGUCUGUAACUGACGCUGAGGCUCGAAAGCAUGGGUAGCGAACAGGAUUAGAUACCCUGGUAGUCCAUGCCGUAAACGAUGAGUGCUAAGUGUUGGAGGGUUUCCGCCCUUCAGUGCUGCAGCUAACGCAUUAAGCACUCCGCCUGGGGAGUACGACCGCAAGGUUGAAACUCAAAGGAAUUGACGGGGGCCCGCACAAGCGGUGGAGCAUGUGGUUUAAU
rnacentral:rRNA from 1 species